rnacentral:lncRNA from 1 species
AUUUAUGGGAGGAACAAUACUCCCGGCCACCUCAGUUUGGGUGGGUGUGCCUGGGAGGCGGGUGAGAGCGGUGGAAGGUGCCAGGGAUCGUUAGGAAAGGAAUCGAAAAAUAUGAGCAUCGGGAUUAUAAUCCCGACGGAUCUCUGGCGCGGCGGCAUUUGGAGACGGGUGUACCUCUCUGUUUGCCUCACCUUAGAAAGGUGGGGAAGGUUUGGGAAAGGGCGACCGAAAUGAUCAAGGCGAUGGAGAGAAAAGUUGCAGCAUUUGGGAUGUUUUAGUAAAGCGGGAAGCAAAAUGAUAGGAGUUCAUAAAACCAUGGAGAAAGCAGAUUGAGAAAAGGGGUCCCCCCCCCAACAUUAUAACUGGUGGAAGCUGAAUGUUGGAAGAGUCAGCACAAAUAGAAUAAAGGACACAGUUAACUGUGGAACUCACUGCCACAAGAGGUAGUGGUACCCACCAAGCUAGAUGGCUUUAAAAGAGGACUGUACAGUUGGGAGGGACCACAAUCUGGUCCAGCCCCCCUUGCAAAGCAGGAAUCUCAGCUAAAGCAUCUACGACAGAGACCAUCCGACUUCUGCUUAAAAGCCUCCAAGGAAGGAGAGUCCACCAUCUCCUGAGGGAGACUGUUCCACUGUCAAACAAAGCCACUUCCACCCUGCAAAGGAGGUGGGGUUGCGGGCUUCAUGGCCUCACCACGUGCGCGGCAGCUGGAGCCCAGCCCCCGCGAGAUUGGGGGAAUCCCCGGCUGCGUCACCCCCAAUUGGCUAGCUCUGGGGGGUGUGGCCUGCCCUAUUUAAGGCAGCUGCAGCUGGGGAUCUCCCUUUUUUGCCACCUACCAACUGUUCCUGUUUUCCCACCCUCCCGCCCUCUAAGGUUCUCGUUCCUUGACCUUGCUAUGGACUUCGGUUGGUCGCUGUUGAGGGGCCUGGUAGGAAUUUUUUCCACUUGGCAAACUGGCACCAGCCACUUGGUUUUCGACUACCUCAUAGCAAAUCGUCACAACUUUCUGGUUAUUGGCGGUUAGGCAUUGGAAUAGUUCUGUAGAUGGAAAGAGGGGAGGUAGCGCCAUCACCUGUCCCGCAUAUUGAAGGGUGGUCCGGUUAAGGAUUCUGGCGGGCGUGGCCCUGUCCGAAGGCAUGCCCCCUAUCACACGCCCCUAUCGCACGCCUAAGGCACGCCCUCUAUCGGUGACCCCGGGGGAGUUCCUAGUUGAUGUGCAUCAAAAGGACUCCCUCUACUGGUGGUUAACCCUUCCCAGACUUCAAGCGGACGGGCUGAAGUCAGAUAUAGUCGGUUAGGACCAAUGCCUAAGCCAAUACUUGUAACCAAUAAAGUUGUGGCCUUUUUUAGCCCAUUAACCUUAAUAAUUGUUUCAUGUGUCUUUAUUUCCACUGGGGGGGGGCGGGAAUGUGCCACGCAACUCUUAGUGUCAGAAGGGUUUUCCUGAUGUUUAGUCGGAAUCUCCUUUCUUCUGACUUGAAGCCAUGGGUUCGAGUCCUACCCUCCAGAGCAAGAGAUUAUAGACUACUGAUGGCCCCUAACCAGGAUGUUUCUGUUCUGCCUCCACAGUCAGAGGCAGCGAUGCUUCUGAAUGCCAGUUGCUGGAAACCGCAGGAUGGCUAUUGUGUUCAAAUCCUGGUUGUGAGUUUCUCAUAAUGGGUUGGCCCCUGAGAGAACAGGAUGCUGGACUGGAGAGGCCACUGGCUCUUUUGAGGUUCUCAUGUGGAAUGAAGUCCCCUUGUCUCAUGCAAUACUCCUCUCCUUCUUGGCGGAAAGCUUUGCCACCGAAAAUGAACUCCUUUGCUCUCGCAUAUUGCCUGCCAGCUGCUGCUGCUGCUGCUGCUGUUGCUCCCAGCCACCACCUGACGGAAAGUGUAUCUGAUCUACCCUGUCAGCUCUUUGAAAUGAAGUGUCCCACACUGCCGUGAAUUGAAAGGAAACAUGAAAACGGCAACUCCCAAAGGGGAGCGAUGAGGAAACAAAGCCCUGAGACAUGCCUGUCAACAGCCGGUUCUUGCAAAAAAGGCUGUGAACAGAGAAGAUCCACUGGCGUCAAGAGGCCAAGCCUGCGGGAAGCGUGGGACAGAAGAACCAGCCAAGGGGAUACUUCUGGAUCUGACCCCGUCACUGUCGACUCAGCCAGCCACAAUGGCUAGGAGGGCCUUUUCCCAGUUCCGGCUAGUACACCAGCUACAACCCCUUUCGGAUGGAGAUAUCCUGGUCGUUGUACACCAAAGAAUCACAGAACUGUAGAGCUGGAAGGGACCCUAGGGGUCAUCUAGUCCAACCCCCUGCAACGCAGGAAUGCAUGCUCUGGAAACUUCCAGGCUGGACUCCCACAAUGCGCUGUGCAUGGGGCCACCUUUGAAGAUGACUCAGAAAUUUGGUCCUAAAUGGAGCAGCCGGGUUGCUGCCUGGGGUUCUAUGUUGAUCUCAUACAAUCCCCAUUUUUUAAAAGGUUGCACCAGUUGCCAGCUCAUUUUCAGACCCAAUUCAAGGUGCACAUAUUGGUGUCGAAAGCCCUAAACCAGAGGUCAGCAAACUUUUUAAGCAGGGGGCCAGUCCACUGUCCCUCAGACCUUGUGGGGGGCAGGACUAUAUUUUGAAAAAAAAUAAAAUGAACAAAUUCCUAUGCCCCACAAGUAACCCAGAUAUGCAUUUUAAAUAAAAGCACACAUUCUACUCAUGUAAAACCACCAGGCAGGCCCCACAAAUAACCCAGAGAUGCAUUUUAAAUAAAAGGACACAUUCUACUCAUGUAAAAACACGCUGAUUCCUGGACUGUCCGCAGGUCGGAUUUUGAAGGCAAUUGGGCCGGAUCCAGCCCCCAGGCCAUAGUUUGCCUACCCAUGCCCUAAACGACUCAGGCCCCAAAUAUCUGAAAGCCCACCUCCUUCCCUAUAGAUGACUGUUUCUCAACCUUGCAUCCUCAGCUGUUGUUGGACUACAAAUCCCAUCAUCCCUGACUGCUUGUUCUGCUAGCAAGGGAUGUUGGGAGUUGUAGCCCGAUGACAGCUGGAAACCCAAGUUUGAGAAACACUGCUAGACCCUCUCAGGUGCUGAGAUUGGCAGAGGGCGGCCUCUUGGUAGUUCUUCCACCCUUAGAGACUUAGGGGGGCAUCCCUGGAGGGGGGCAUUCUCUGUGGCAGCCCCUGUGGACCUCCUUCCCCAUGGAGUUCCCCACCAGGAAGAACUUUCUGAGGUUGGAUAGCCUCCUCUCAUGGAUGCCUGUAGCUGAGAGUCCUGCAUUGCAGGGGGUUAGACUAGAUGACUCUCAGGGUCCUCUUCUAUAGUCUUCUAUAGCCUUUAUAGCCCUAUACAGCCUAGGACCCUCGUACCUAUGGGACCGCCUCUCCUGGUAUGUCCCACGGAGGACCUUAUGGUCUUCAAACAAAAACAUCUUGGAGAUCCCGGGCCACAGGGGGGUUAGGCUGGCCUCAACCAGAGCCAGGGCCUUUUCAGCUGUGGCCCCGAUCUGAUGGAACGCUCUGUCAUGAGACUAGGGCUCUGCGGGACUUGACAUCUUUCCACAGUGCCUGCAAGACAGAGCUGUUCCACCAGGCCUUUGGCCAAGGCACAGUCUGACCCCCUCCUUCUGUAAUCCUCAUAGAACUCUAGCCCAAUGGUUGCCAUUAAUUUGAUUCUGAACUGAUUUUAGAAUGUAUUUCAAUUAAUUGAUUGUGAUUUUAUGUAAACUGUGGUUUUUUUACUGUUGUCUGAGCCUGGCUUCGGCUGGUGAGAGCGAGACAUAAAUAAAAUGUUGUUAUUAUUAUUAUUAUUAUUAUUAUUAUUAUGAAGAAGAAGCACACAAUUGGGGUUGCAGUGCAAGUCAGGCCCUGCCUGAGACCUUCCAUCCCCCUGCCCCACAGAGGAGGAGGAAAGGAUUAGCACAUCCUCUGGCCCAGGAACCUUCUGAAGUCCAGCAAAUAGCAGGACCACCAUGCAUGCUCUAAAAUUAUUUGGUGAAACAGCUCCACAAGGACGUUCCUCUACCAGCUUUGCUGACCCAUCUCUGGUCUGAUGAUGGAUCCAGACUUCCAGAAGGGAAUCAAGUAGUUUUAUUUGUAUUGCAUGGCCUCCCACAGCAAUGGGGAAGCCUCGGGAAGGGACCACCAAUAACCUUUGCCAUCGCCCAGCUCAUUUGGCCGUGUGUGUGUGUGUGUGUGUGUGUGUGUGUGUGUGGCAGCAGUCCUGAAGAACAUGCAAUCCGGCCCCUUUCUCUCUCCAAGGCAGCCUCCCUACUGAUUUCCUGAUUCAAUGCCAUUUUCUUGACCCACGGACCAUUAAAUUGAAAGAACAUGAGAAGCAUCUCCCGGCCUAGCUUUUAAUGGAGAGAGGACCCCCCCUUGCUCCCCAAAUGGCCAGGAAUACCAUUCUUACAUUUCGUUUUUUCUUCUUUUCCAGCCGUUGAAGCUUUGCACAUUGAUACGAAAAAGCUAUUUUUUCACAAAUGGAAGGAAGACCUACAAAGAGCAACUACAGCAAGUUCUGGGACAGAACAAGCCAAACUUUACUAAGUUGUCGCCUCAUACGCCAGCCAGGAAGUCAAAGAAUCAUAGAAGUGUAGAGUUGGAAGGGACCUCCAGGGGUCAUCUAGUCGAACCCCCUGCAAUGCAGGAAUCUCAAGCAUCCGUGACAAAGGGCCAUCUAACCUCUGCUUAAAAGCCUUCAAGGAAGGAGAGUCCACAAUCUUUGGAGGGAGUCCAUUCCACUGUCAAACAGUUCCUACCGUAUUUUUUCCCCUGGGUUUUUUUUAAAAAAAUUAUUUAUACUUUUCAAGUUUAUACAUUUCACUAAUUCUACAAUCCUUUUGACAUUUCAAAAACUGGCUUCCUCCCCGCUCUUUCUGCAGUUC